rnacentral:tRNA from 1 species
GGUCCCGUGGCCUAGUGGUUGAUGGCGUCUGAAUUACACUCAGAAGGUCCCCAGUUCGAACCUGGGUGGGAUCA